rnacentral:lncRNA from 1 species
GUUACAUCACCAUCAGCGGCGGCGGCGGCGGCUCCUCCACAGCCGGAUGAAAACCUGAUGAAUCAGAGAGAAAGGUAGUUCAGAGUUGGUCCUCACCUCGGCUCCUGACAGCAGCAGCAGCAGAAGAAGAAGAAGAAGAGAGUGUGUUCAGGAGAGAGAGCUGCAGCCGAUAACCGCUCUAAAUUUACCAGGAGCAGACGCGGCUCUAAACAUGGAGGCAGAUCUGCUCCGGCUGCUUAUCGUCGGCUCCCAGUGGGCCAUGGCCAUACAAGGCUGUGCGGGGCCCGGGGCCAUCCAGCAGCUCCUCGUCCCCGCCGACACGUGGGGAGAUAACAGCUAACAGCUAGCUGGCAGGAAUGCUGGGAUAAGUGUCCCCCCGACCCCUCCAACAGACAUGACAUCUGUGCAACCUUCACAGCAGAGAGAAGGUGACAUCCAGAGAGACGAUGUUCGACAGCGAGGAGCGAAAAUCAAAAACCUGAAACUUUCACUGAGAAAACUCUGAAACCGAGCCGUGGAGAGGAGCCGCAGGGGACCAUGAACCCUCUGUGUUCAGGAGGAUAUUUCACUGAGCAAGAAACUUCAAUAUUUUCAACAGAUUAAAGAACAUCCACAUUAUCUGGAAGGGCAUCCAAAGUGUUUUUUUUUCCACAUUUCCUGAACUUGAAGAGCUUCUAGAGAAUCUCGUCUUAAAGUUGGAGACGGUCAGGGACGCAGAAGGCUCUUUUUCAGGUUUUAGCAACUCAAGGAAACUUUUAAAGUCACAUCCUGGUAGAGCAUCCAGAUGAUGUCUUUUAAUGUAUUUUUUGAACACACAAAACACACAAUGACCUUUAUUUCAUAUUUUAUUAUUUGGAAGGUGACACCUAGAGAGCUCUUCUCCACAUGUCAUAUGCUGGUAGGGUAUCCAGGGCGCAGAUUUUUAUGACUUGAAACUUGAAACUUUUUAAAAUGCUUUAUUACCUGAAAAAACUCUUUAUAUUUCAUUUUGGAGCGUGGCAGAACUCUUUAUUUCACAUUAAUUAGUUUCAUUCACAGGAAGAGCUUCUAGAUGAUUUAACUCUACAAUGACACGACAACCAGAGGACAUUUUUUAUGUCUCAGCAACUUCAUGAAAAAGGAAAAAACAAGUGUUGUCUCAUUACCCAACAGAGUUUACAUCAAAUCAUAAAGUCGUAGGACAUUCAGGAAACACGUUUUCCCCUUUUUAUACACCAGAGGAGGGCAUCCAGAAAGGAUUUUAUCACAUUUAAUACACUGAAAGGUACAGAAGAGGAUUAGGGCCACUGAAAAAAAAAGUCCAAUAGUAUGUUUUUUAUUAUUAUUGUUCUGAGAAAAAAAAGUCAGAAUUCUAAAAUUUAAAUCAGAAUUGUGUCUUAAAUCUUAGAAUUCUGACUUUCAGGUCUUCUGAUUUUAAAGUCAGACUUUUGACUUUUUUCUCAGAAUUCUGAUUCAGAGUAAUAAUUUAAAAAAAUCACACUGGACCUUUUUUUUUUCCAGUGGCCCUGAUCCUCUUCCGUAUAAAGGGAAAUAAAAAGCACAGUUUCGUGUUUUGUCAGUUGUAAAAAAAUCAAAAGGGAACUUUUAUUUUAUAUUCUCAAAGGGCGUUAAGAGAAAACACUGUCAAUGUGCUGGAAGGGCAUCCAGAGACCAACAUUUUUUUCUCUUUACAUAUUGAAGGGGCGACUACGAGGCACUUCUUCAUGUUUCAUCCACAGACAGAAAGUUCUAUUUAUAAUAUUUGAUUUAGACAACAUCUUUUCAACACUUCAUAUACUGGAAGGGCAUCCAGAGGGCUCUUUGUUGAUUGUGUUUGAGACUUCUGGAGGUUUCUGAGCUCCUGAUUGGUUUCUCCUCUAACGGAUGAUGGUAAAGAUCAAAAUUAAAACUGUUAUAAAAGCAGCAGAAGGAUAAACCGGAGAUUUAAAGGGUGAGUAAUCUGCAGAAUCACUGUGUCCAUGUUUCUGCUGCUCAUUAGUGUUCUCAGAGGACAGACUGUCCUGGACCUGUGUGUGUGUGUGUGUGUGUGUGUGUGUGUGUGUGUGUGUGUGUGUGUGUGUGUGUGUGUGUGUUAAAAUGCUGAUAAACAGCUGUAUUGCUCAUGUUCACCCCCACCCUCUCUGUCUUUCUUUAGGCGGUGUUGCCGUGUCUUUCUUUGCCUCCGUCUCUCAGCGGCCUACUCGUUCUGGAGGUGUGUUUUUGUGUCUUCCUUGUGUUUUCGGAUGUGUGGAGGCUGUUUCAUUUUCAGCCUUUCCUCCAGCAGCUGAAGCUAAAUCUUAUUUCCAAUUUGCAUGUUUAGUUUUUCUCCUCUGAGGAGGAAUAAACCCAUGUGGGCAGAUGUGUGUGUGAUCCUCUGUUGUUCAGCGGCUCUGAAGGGUCUCAGACUCUGCACAGAGCGCUGCCUCCACAGUCGUACAGAUGAAAACAACAGACUGAUGGUGGAGGGUGUUUCUGUCUCUCAUUUCAGAGUGGACUGUGAUCCAGAGAACAGAUCUCUGAGAGUCAGACUGCAGACGUUCAUGUUGUGGAUUUUGUUGUUUGACAGAGAAACUCGUCCCCGGCUGAUUGUGUUCAGAGGUGUUACAGUCCCUCCUCCUCUCACUGAUAAACGCCGACAGUCUUUAUCUCUGCUGACUGAUUAUCAACACAUUCCUCAGCUCUUAUUUUUAACUCUGUGUCUCAGAGACAGAGACUUUUUAUUGAGGUGUUCCACUUCAUAAAAACAUCAAAUGAUGUAAAUUAAUAUUCAACAUGAUUCUUCCCACGUUUGAAAGAAGACCGCUCAAGGGCCCUUCCCUCCUACAGUAUUAAACAUUAAAGAGCGCCCUCUGGUUGUGCUUCCAGGACAUCAAACUAACAGAGUAACAAGAGGAUUCCUUUUGAACGUAUAAAAAGUUUAAAAAAAAACUGCCUUGAUGCCCUUCCAUUGUAUGAAACAUGGAGAAAGUGCCCCUGAUGCCCUCCCAGCAGAUAAACAAAAGUCUGACCUUUUAGUGGACUCAAAAUAUUAAUGUGCCCUCUGAAUACCCUUUAAAGAGAUUUUACAUCACUGACCUCUGGAUACUCUUCCUGUUGAUUAAACUCCUUGAAUACCCUCCUGGUGGACAUAAUUUAAAAAACUUUCUGUCCAGGAGAUUUAACAUGAAAAACACUGCUCUCUGGAUACCCUUCCACAUUUUUUAAUAAGUGUUAAAUCAGUUAUUUCUAUGACUCUAUUUAUAUCAGAACAGUACAGAGGCGUAUUGUAUUCACCAAUAAAAUAAAAUAAAAAUUUAAAGAAGAGAGAAAAAGAAAAAGGUCUGUAUUUAGAGUAAUUUUUUUCUGUUUUUUGGACUAAUUUUUUUGUUUUGUUUUGUUUUGUUUUUCAGACUUAGGGCUCUAUUUUCAUGCCCGCCAGUGGUGCGGUGGAGGGUGGCAGACCCUGCGCAGUGUUUUUUUUGUCUGGCGGAUCCCGGUGCACAGCCAGACACUUAAUACACCUACUCUCCUGCCGAAUGUGCACAACACUACUGCGCAAUGUUGGUUUCAGGAAAUGGAGAAAAAAGGCUGAAAAACCGAGAACUUUUCGGCUUCAGAUCCGUUUACAGGAGGAAGGAGGAACAGAGUUGUCCAGAGUAAAUACAGUCUAUAGACUAACCUCAUAAUUCAUCUUUUUCUCUGAAUCAGACUUCUCUCCUUGUCCUCGUUUACAUGCAGCUGAGAAAAUCGAAUUAUUGACGUGAACGUGUCCUCCUCCCCAACACUAGGGGGCGAUAUGGGUCUUUUCAGCGGCGCUGUUUCCGACCCCAUACAACCGUCAACAACAACAGCAGGUCGGUGUCAGACGUCAGUGUCUACAACUGCUGCUGGGCAUUUUGGAGAAACAAGAAGAUGGAGCAUCGUACAGCGUUGUUUUUGUCCGACAUGAUGGACGCGCUACUUUUUCUAAAGAGGAGACCAACGCUACUCCUCUACUCUGGGGGUUUGUUACCGGGGUUAGGGGGGCGUGGCUCAUUGUCCGAUCAUACUCCGACUACGCUGGUUGCAUGGUAGAGAAAAUCGAAUUCUAAUCACAUUAUCUGGGAGUUUUAAUCAGAGUUCUCCGACAUAGACAUAUAAGCAGUAGAUUGUGUCCUUCCAGAGGAGGAAAUCUACUUCUAGACUUCUAGAAUCAGCAUCUCCUCAUCCAUGGUGUCAUCGGGGUGAAAUGACGUCUAAAAACCUUUCACUUGUUCGUCUUUUAGUACGACCUUUGAUGACCUUGAUGAAGGUGGAGAUUGAGGGUUUGGCCAUAAUUAGUUUUUCUUGAGUGUCAUGUAAACGUUCUGAUUAUAACCUUCAUUUUUAACCCCGGAGGUUGAUGGUUGGCUGAAAACCAACAGAGUUGCACAGUGACUGACUCCUGGUAUAGAGAUUUAAAUGGAAGUAAAGUUGUGGUAUUUUAGAGCACAUUACGGGUUUUUUUGGUCUGGAUUUGAAAUGACAAUGACUGACACGUCUCUCUGUUUUUCUGCAUUGAAACUUGUCUUUUCUGCUCACUCAGCAUGUCAGGAGCAGGGAUAUUAUGGAAGCAGCUGUCUCAGGCUGGUGCAGCUGUAUAUGAGUGUGAGGAUAUGUACAGUGCAUAUGACUGGUGCUCAGGAUGACCUCCACAAACAGCCUGCAGAGUGGAACUUGUCAAAGCGCCCCUCUCUGAUGUGUGCUUGGUGUUGAUCUGCUGGAAGCGACUCGGUUUGUCCUCAGUGCUCUUGCCUUUUAUCCGUUUGAAUUCGUCACAGUCAGACUCUGACUCAAAUGUAACAUGUUUAAUUAAAGCCGCUCCAACCUCAGAAAUGCUUCUAUUUUAUGUCUUUGCAC